rnacentral:rRNA from 1 species
GAUGAACGCUGGCGGCGUGCCUAAUACAUGCAAGUCGAGCGAAUGAUGAGGAGCUUGCUCCUCUGAUUUAGCGGCGGACGGGUGAGUAACACGUGGGUAACCUGCCUGUAAGAUGGGGAUAACUCCGGGAAACCGGGGCUAAUACCGAAUAAUAAAAGAAGAAGCAUUUCUUCUUUUUGAAAGUUGGUUUCGGCUAACACUUACAGAUUGGCCCGCGGCGCAUUAGCUAGUUGGUGAGGUAACGGCUCACCAAGGCGACGAUGCGUAGCCGACCUGAGAGGGUGAUCGGCCACACAGGGACUGAGACACGGCCCAGACUCCUACGGGAGGCAGCAGUAGGGAAUCUUCGGCAAUGGGCGAAAGCCUGACCGAGCAACGCCGCGUGAGCGAGGAAGGCCUUCGGGUCGUAAAGCUCUGUUGUCAGGGAAGAACGAGUACGAGAGUAACUGCUCGUACCUUGACGGUACCUGACCAGAAAGCCACGGCUAACUACGUGCCAGCCGCCGCGGUAAGAC